rnacentral:rRNA from 1 species
AGGCGGAGACUAACACAUGCAAGUCGAGCGGUAGCACAGAGAGCUUGCUCUCGGGUGACGAGCGGCGGACGGGUGAGUAAUGUCUGGGAAACUGCCUGAUGGAGGGGGAUAACUACUGGAAACGGUAGCUAAUACCGCAUAACGUCGCAAGACCAAAGUGGGGGACCUUCGGGCCUCAUGCCAUCAGAUGUGCCCAGAUGGGAUUAGCUAGUAGGUGGGGUAACGGCUCACCUAGGCGACGAUCCCUAGCUGGUCUGAGAGGAUGACCAGCCACACUGGAACUGAGACACGGUCCAGACUCCUACGGGAGGCAGCAGUGGGGAAUAUUGCACAAUGGGCGCAAGCCUGAUGCAGCCAUGCCGCGUGUGUGAAGAAGGCCUUCGGGUUGUAAAGCACUUUCAGCGGGGAGGAAGGCGGUGAGGUUAAUAACCUCAUCGAUUGACGUUACCCGCAGAAGAAGCACCGGCUAACUCCGUGCCAGCAGCCGCGGUAAUACGGAGGGUGCAAGCGUUAAUCGGAAUUACUGGGCGUAAAGCGCACGCAGGCGGUCUGUCAAGUCGGAUGUGAAAUCCCCGGGCUCAACCUGGGAACUGCAUUCGAAACUGGCAGGCUAGAGUCUUGUAGAGGGGGGUAGAAUUCCAGGUGUAGCGGUGAAAUGCGUAGAGAUCUGGAGGAAUACCGGUGGCGAAGGCGGCCCCCUGGACAAAGACUGACGCUCAGGUGCGAAAGCGUGGGGAGCAAACAGGAUUAGAUACCCUGGUAGUCCACGCUGUAACGAUGUCGAUUUGGAGGUUGUGCCCUUGAGGCGUGGCUUCCGGAGCUAACGCGUUAAAUCGACCGCCUGGGGAGUACGGCCGCAAGGUUAAAACUCAAAUGAAUUGACGGGGGCCCGCACAAGCGGUGGAGCAUGUGGUUUAAUUCGAUGCAACGCGAAGAACCUUACCUGGUCUUGACAUCCACAGAACUUAGCAGAGAUGCUUUGGGUGCCUUCGGGAACUGUGAGACAGGUGCUGCAUGGCUGUCGUCAGCUCGUGUUGUGAAAUGUUGGGUUAAGUCCCGCAACGAGCGCAACCCUUAUCCUUUGUUGCCAGCGGUCAGGCCGGGAACUCAAGGAGACUGCCAGUGAUAAACUGGAGAAGGUGGGAUGACGUCAGUCAUCAUGUCCUUUACGACAGGGCUACCACGUGCUACAUGGCAUAUACAAGAAUGCGACCUCGCGGAGACAGCGAACCUUCAUAAAGAUAAUGUCCGUAGUCCGGCAUUGGGAAGUCUGC